rnacentral:piRNA from 1 species
UACUGUUCUCUGUAGUUGGGGGU